UACCAGCACCCCGAGUGGUCGGGACGAUUAUUGGGCCUAAAGCAUCCGUAGCCGGUCCUGCAAGUCUUCCGUUAAAUCCAGCUGCUCAACAGAUGGGCUGCGGGAGAUACUACAGGGCUAGGAGGCGGGAGAGGCAAGCGGUACUUUAUGGGUAGGGGUAAAAUCCGCUGAUCUAUAGAAGACCACCAGUGGCGAAGGCGGCUUGCCAGAACGCGCUCGACGGUGAGGGAUGAAAGCUGGGGGAGCAAACCGG
rnacentral:rRNA from 1 species